rnacentral:rRNA from 1 species
GACGAACGCUGGCGGCGUGCUUAACACAUGCAAGUCGAACGAUGAAGCGCUGUCUUUUUGGUGGUGUGGAUUAGUGGCGAACGGGUGAGUAAUACGCGGGCAACCUGCCCCUCUGCUUCGGGAUAAGCUUUGGAAACGGGGUCUAAUACCGGAUGUGCCUGUCUGGUCGCAUGGCUGGGCGGGGAAAGAUGUUUUUCGGCGGGGGAUGGCUCGCGGCCUAUCAGCUUGUUGGUGGGGUGCGGCUACCAAGCGUCGACGGUAGCGGCCUGAGAGGGUGGCGGCCCAUAGGCUGAGUACGGCAGGACUCUACGGAGGGAGAGUGGGGAUUUGGACAAUGGGCGAAGCUGAUGCGCGACCCCCCGGGGGAUGGGCUUCGGUUGUAACCCUUUGGGGGGGAAAGGUCCGUUGGGGGUUGAGGGUCGCGUCAAGAAGCGCCGCUAACUACGUCCAGCGCCCCGGUAAUACGGAGGGGGCGGGCCUUGUCCCGAAAUUAUUGGGCGUAAAGGGCUCGAGGCGGCUUGUCCCCUCUGCUGUGAAAAACCCGGGGCUCAACUCCCCCCCUUCAGGGGGUACGGGCCGGGCUUGGAUCCGGCAGGGGGGGCUUGAAUUCCUGGGGUAGCGGGGGAAUGCGCGAUUUUCAGGAAGAACACCGUGGCGAAGGCAGGCCACUGGGCCCGCCCUGACCUGGGGGGAAAGCGUGGGGGGGCAAAAGGGUUUAAAACCUGGGAGGCCAAGGGCGAAUUCCCAUUGGGUUCACGCGGGGGAUCCCCUAGUCCUAGAGGGGCCGCCCCGGGAACCUCCAAUUCCCCUAUAGUGGGCGAUAAGCGGGUCAUUGGCCAUAUUUAAACUUCGUGACUGUAAAAACCUGGGU